GCCCCCCCGGCUGCCCCACAAGUGCAGCAGCUCCAGCAGGGUCUCUUUGGGGCAGUUCAGCUUCUGACUCUUUCCAGGCCCUUCCGAACAUCACCUUUCUAGGGCUUUUUCCUUGGGAUUCUGCCCCCUCCCCCAGAAAGUUGCCUUCACCCAUCUAAUGAACUCCAGAGAUGCCAGGAGUGAAACCCCCGGCCGGGAACGUCCAGAGUCUCUGUCCUUCGUGUGCCAGGAGUUGGGCUGUGCUCUGGAUCUUUUCUGGCUCAGAAAUCAUUCUGGCAGAUGGUGAGCUGAGGAGGCCGUUCCUGCUCCUAAGCUGACUCCAUGGCACGUGUGCCCCAUCUUUAAGGAAGCCCAUGGGAUGAAGCUUUCUGACAAGUGGCGAGAGAAAGGGCCACUGCUGACAGCAAUCGGCCAGCAAGCAAGAAGGCAUCCGUGGUUGGACGUGCUCUUUCUCUCUGCCCAAGACCCUGGGAAAUCCAACCCUGAGGGCAGGAGGGGGCCUCUCGCUCCAGAGUGUAAGAAGUUUCCUCUUGGGUCCAAGUGGGAAGGUAUCCUUGGGCAAUCUGAUCACGCUUGACUAGUGAAGGCCAGCUUGGGGGCUGAUCUUGGGUUCCCUACAGGAAUUCUUCCAAGAUUGUGGAUCUCACCUUCUUCUCUUGGGUUCCUUGCACAUUCCAAGCAGACAAUGUUCCUCAAAAGAAGAACUGUUUGUUCCCAAACAUUGGAUUCUUUUCUUACUCUGACAGUAUCUGCACUGUGCAAUUUUCUGACACUCCCACAAGAGUAAAGUUGGAUGGUUCCUAGUCCAAAUAAGGGCACAGAGAAAUCCCAGUUCUCUCUUGUGGACAGGAAAGUUGCAGAAGAGCUGGCAAAAUGGCCCACAGCUGGACAUUCUUUCAUGGAAGGAGCACUCCUAGGACAGAAUUUGAGGGCAGAUGAGAGAGGGAAGAGCUUUCUCCCCCUCUCCUAGAAGCAGGGACAUCACGCAAGAGAUGUGCCUGGCUCGCUCAGUUCCACUCUUCCAGAAACCAACUUCCCUGCUUGGCUGACUCCAAGAAGAGCCCUCUUGAUUUGGGGAAGAACCUUUGCCCGUGCCAAGGUGCCCAAAGGAGGGCCACUUUCAGCACGAACCAGAACCCCUCUGGGGACCAAGGAAAUGCCAGCGUUAGCCUGCCCCUCCUGAACUGUUUUAAAAUGCCAGCAGAAGCUGAAGCAAAACAAGCCUGCCGAGCUGGGCCGUACUGCUGAGGGCUGGCUGCAGUUGUGGUAAUGACCAUCCAAGUUCUCCAGAAGACUUCUUCUGUUUCCUUCUCCAGAGUGGAAACAGCCAGAACUGGGCCAGGCAGCAAAGGGGAGCCAUUAGUCACUGGUGGAAGGUUUCACAUUACACACCAGUCAUCCCAGGACAAGGAAGCGCCAGCCAGCUUCCCUGCCCUUCCUCUUGGUUAGGAAAACACCACGGUUGCCUGAGAGCACUUGCCGACAAUGGUCCAGCCCCUGCCAGCAGAGGGGUCGGUCUGUGUCUCCCUGGCCCUUCUGACGUUCAGCCUCCUCUGCUGACCUCAGUGAAAGAGAAGGCUGACAUGUCGGUCGACCCAGGCAGCAGCGGUUGCUGUCCUUACCCUCUAUCCACGAAUCUCUCCCGGGGCAUCUGAGCAUAAGCUGAG